rnacentral:snRNA from 1 species
GCGAGGGCGAUCUGGCUGCGACAUCUGUCACCCCAUUGAUCGCCAGGGUUGAUUCGGCUGAUCUGGCUGGCUAGGCGGGUGUCCCUUUCCUUCCUCACCGCUCCAUGUGCGUCCCUCCCGAAGCUGAGCGCCGGGUCGAAGAGGACGACCAUCCCCGGUAGAGGAGGACCGGUCUUCGGUCAAGGGUAUAUGAGUAGCUGCGCUCCCCUGCUAGAACCUCCAGACAAUAGUGUCUCUUAAUGGAAAACCUAAUGUGGACUAAGGCCGCAGAAAGAGUUAUGGAAUUCAUGAUAAUUUUACUUGUGUUAACAUUUAUAUUCUU